rnacentral:lncRNA from 1 species
GGGGUGUGUUACAGCAAAAACAUACUCAGUCGAGGGGAAUUAAUUUGCUCUAUUAAACCCAAGUCUCAGUGUAGAGAGAGCAUGUGUUUGCACAUAACACCGGUUUAAUUAGGCUAAAUCAAAAUGCACAUAUUUGCAUUUCUACUCAGGAUUGCUUUAACCCUACUCGGCUUUUUAAACACAUGCCAAAGUUGCACCGAAGUUGUUGCUCUUUUUUCCCCCCCUGAUUUUCACCUGCAACGGGGCUUCUUUAGUCUAUUCGAAUUUAAACAAGUUUUGAAAGUAGCGUUUGUACAGAUAUUUUAGCGAAGAGUGGUCGAACUUGAAGGCUUAAAUUAGUGAGAAAAUUCACGCCGGGAAAAUAAUUUUAAAGUUGGAAGUGUGAAUGAUCAAAUAUGCAUGAGACAAUCGUAUUUUAUUUUGUCCCUUUAAUUAUAAAUGAUUUUUUAAACAAUUGAAUUCCAGAGAUGACUAUCUCCUUCCCGACCACCGCCUCCAGCUCCUCAUCCCUCCCUCCAUGCCUCCCCCCUCCUCCAGCCUGGCUCACAAUCAGUUUUUCACCCCCUGUUGAAUAUGCAGCCCCAGGAGUCACCUUGUCUACUAAAAAGUGGGAAGAAUAGGCCAGUCUCCUUCUCUUAAGGGGGGAGUUUAAGGACGACUUCAACUCGGCGGGGUUUUGGAAGC